UCCUCAUCCUCCCACACGCGCGCCUCCUUCCUCCUCUCGCACCCGCGCCUCCCUCUCCUCUUCCUCUCGCCCCUCGCGCCGCCACUACUGCCUCCUUCCCCGCCGCCGCUCGGCCUCCUACCCUCAUGUCCUCCUCCUUCCACCCCCUCCGAUCUGGCGCCACCCAAACCCCAACCCCCCGCCCUGGCUCUGGCUCCCGCCGGAGGGUAGGAGGAAUGGCGAGGCGAGGCAAAGGCGGCGGCGUAUGGGACGUGUCGUGGGGAGGUGUGGCCCAGGGGGUCGGCGCAGCCACGGCUUCUCGUCGUCUCCGCCGUCACCUGGGCGCUGCCAUGGGAGAGCUCGAGCUCGAAGGGGGAGCAGCGGGGAGAGGAACGUGAGGCCAUGGGGGAGGAAGAAGAUGGCCCCCCUCGUUCCCAAGGUUGGUCUUCGCGUGACGCUGGUUAAGGUAGUUUCUUUCCUCGAAUCCAAUUUCUUUUGGUUGCCGUCGGUGUUCUUGACUAAUUUUGGAUCUCGUUUGCCUACAGAUCUUUCUAUUCUUGCUCCCUAUGCGUCAGAUAUGUUGUUGUGUUCCUUGAUCUGUAAUUGCUUGUUGUUUUCAAGUGUCUCAGUUUUGGUUACCUGAAGCUAAUCCAUGAAUUGCUCCUUUCCCCCUUGCAGGUUGGUCUGCUGUCAGCAGGUGCUCAUGUUUCUCGUCGGUUCGUCCUGCUGCCUCUUCGGUCAUCGCUCUACAGGUCAACCCAUUUUCUCCUUGACCUCUCAGCUCUCCAGGCCUGCGCUUGCGUUAUUGCGGUCGUGUAUCUUCCUUGUGUUCUUAUUGGUAGAAAGCUGGCGUCUAAGAGUGUCAUUCUUUGCUUGUAUUUUUGUGCUUUUGUCACUUAUAUGAAUCUUGGUGGGACCUAAAUUCCUUCUAUACAUUUCUGCCAUGUGAUGCUGAUUUGUUUGUUGGAACUGCUCGCAUGUGCCAUGUUGUUGGAGCUACCGAACAAGCCACUAUCGUUGCAGAUAUCCGUUGGACAGUAGUUGUAGUAGUCAGGUGACGACAAGAUGCAGCCAUUUGUAUGGCUUGUUUGUUUUGUUUUCUUGUUUGCCUGUCUUGUUCUUCAGGCUAUGAAAGAGGCCAAUGGCCUGGCAAAUAGAGUCCAUAAAAAUUGUUCGUUACCAUGCAGCUGGGGUAGAUGUGUUGUCAGGAAGGUGCAAUCUGUAUAAAACAUGGCCUCUGUCUAUGUCUUUGUCUGGUUCAUUAGUCAUGCUCUUCUUCGGCCAUCCUUCGUUAGUUUAUUUAUUUCAUUUAUUAUGUGUAGAUCUAGGAGAGAUGCCUAUGAUCAUUCCUUUCCUGCCAAUGUCAUAUUUUUCCCCUAUCAACGAGGCGAUUCUCUUUAUAAAGCAUGGCUUGCAUUUCAGAUGAAUAGGUUGCUAUAUUACUAGAGUAGUGCUUGAUCUGGUCUUCUACCAUUGGACUCGUCAUGGAUUGUUUGUGUUUUCUCAACCUUUUUCCCCGCUGGAAGGAGGGACAUCCUUGAUCGGAGGGGGCUCUGCAGGGCACAUGAUGCAUAUUCUAUAAGUAUUUUUCUGUGGUUCAUUUGUUGUUUCACCCGCUGAACAGUGCUUUGUCAAUUUAGGGACAUCGCCGGCUAUAGCACGAUCCAGUACAUGGUGCCAUAUAGGAUACUAAGGUCAUAGAUUCAGAUUCGUUUGGCCCCCUAAAGGCAAAGUAUGCUUAAUUAUGAAUAUGUUGGACUGCUAUAGUGUGUUGCCUAAUUAGUUACCAGAUUAAUUUUGGUUCUAUUUUUCUGCUGCUGACGGGCGUGCGAAUUAAGGUUCAGGGUGUGCCUUGGACUCAGAAUUCUUACUACUUUAUACUGGAUGUGGUGGUCUUAUUAGUUAGUCAGAGCCUCAUAUGGUUAGGGUGCAUAUCCGGUUAGAACCGAGUCAUUCAUGCAUUCUUAGAAUAUUUCAUGUGUAUUUAUUUGUUUGAGGUGUGUUUAGCUGAUUUCCCUUCGGCCAUUUUCAUUACAUAAAACAAACACUAUGGUUGACAUCUUUCCCUAAUAAUAAAGCGGCUAUCGCUUCUGCCCCGCCUGUUUACCGUCGCGGCACUUUUGCAAAUAGUCCCUGUAGUUUUGGAAAUUCAACCCGCUGUUCCUUUACAAGUGAGAAACGUUGGAAUUUUGCGUGAGAAACCCUGUAGUUUCUUAUAUUCAACCCGCAAUCCUAAACGUUCUGCAGUGCGAGGAAGAUGAGCAGAUAGGGCGUGGCGAUAUGGCGGCUGCGGCGGCGGCCUGCUCAUCCAGAGAAAGAGAGAGACAGGGCGUGAGGGAGAGAGGAAAGAGAGGGGAAAAAGGAGAAGGAGCAGGGGCGCAAGGUGAGGGAGGGAUCUGGCGGAUGGUGCGGGAGGCGGUCGCCGGCGGUGGCGCCUCUGGUGACGGGCCGGCGGGUAGGGCGGCGAGCUCCUGUUGAGGCGGCGGGGCUUGGUGCGGGCCGGUUCCUCUGGAUCGAGCCUUGGCUGUCCCGAGGCGUGCUCUUGCGGGCUUGGAUCGGGGGGUGCUCUGCUGUCCCAACUAAUCAACUACAGGUCCAGAACAAAUCGGCGCUGGAUUCGUCGACGUAGCCGCCACCCAGCGCCGGCCAUCUCGCCCGAGCACGCGACAAAUCAAGGGAUGCCAAGGAGGAGCGAAUAAGCGAAGCAAGGGGCGAGCGUUCUGCUGCAGUCAAACAGGGCCGAUGGGACGCUGCUCGCUGCAGGUCAUACAACAAAUACAAGGCUGCAGUUGAGCCUGUUCAACAAUGGUUCCUGCUCAUUGUGGAAAUGCCGCACGCCGUGUCUGCCAGCCAAGCCACAUCGAGAGAAAGGAGUUGGCGAUUAGCAGUAAUUGCAAGUUGUAGAACAAUAUAGCAGACAUUUCUCACCGUAUCUCCGGUCCGUCUUCUUUCUUGCUUCAAGUUUAUGUUUCAACAUGCAUGUCAUAUGUUCCAAUAAAUGAUGCCUGGGACAAGUACUAAUGGCAUGGAGACAGUAGAAUAAUCAAUCUAAAUA
rnacentral:rRNA from 1 species